CAGGGCUUGACCGUGGUUCAGUUCCUGGGGGACUCCGUCCUCAUCCCGGCCGGGCGCUGCACCAGGUGCAGAACCUUCACAGUUGUGUCCAGGUGAUAAAUGACUUUGUGUCUCCAGAGCAUGUAUUCCACUCCUUCCACCUGACACAGGAACUGAGAUCCUCCAGAGAAGAGCCCAACUACGAAGAUAAACUACAGGUAAAGAACAUCUUGUUCCACUCUGUGAAGGAUGCAUUGACGUCGCUGAGGAGGUACAGCCAGGAGGAGGAAGAGAAUUCCUGACCCGCAGUCCCCCUGGCUCCUCCCUCUCUGGCUCCUCCCUCUCUGGCUCCUCCCUCUAUGGCUCCUCCCUCUCUGGCUCCUCCCUCUCUGGCGCCUCCCUCUCUGGCGCCUCCCUCUCUGAGACAUCUUCCUUCAGCCUGGAACAGAUAUAUAUAUACACACUGACACUAACUACAACAGCAGAACACACUACAACACACUAGAACUACAUGUUACUGACCAGCAUCACUACCCAGCAUCAGGAUACUGACCACAGCAGCAUCACUACCCAGCAUCAGGAUACUGACCACAGCAGCUUCGCUACCCAGCAUCAGGAUACUGACCACAGCAGCAUCACCACCCAGCAUCAGGAUACUGACCACAGCAGCAUCACCACCCAGCAUCAGGAUACUGACCACAGCAGCAUCACCACCCAGCAUCAGGAUACUGACCACAGCAGCAUCACCACCCAGCAUCAGGAUACUGACCACAGCAGCUUCGCUACCCAGCAUCAGGAUACUGACCACAGCAGCAUCACCACCCAGCAUCAGGAUACUGACCACAGCAGCAUCACCACCCAGCAUCAGGAUACUGACCACAGCAGCAUCGCUACCACAGCAUCAGGAUACUAACCACAGCAGCAUCACUACCCAGCAUCAGGAUACUAACCACAGCAGCAUCGCUACCACAGCAUCAGGAGAACUGAGUUCAGUAGAAUCUGGUCUCACAGCUCUGACUGCUGUUCUGGAACCUUCUGUUCUCUGUUUGUUUAGUUCAUGUUUUUCUUUCAAACUGUUGUAUUUUGUUUCUGUGAAAAUGAUGUAUUUAUUUUAUAGGAGUUGUAAAUGCGAUGAUGUUCUAGAUGAAAUGUAAAUGUGACUUGUACAGUUAGCUAAAUGAUGAGUUGUGAGACGGAUGCCGUUUCCUACAUUGAGACAGUUACUGUGAGAGGAAACAGACUUCAGCUGUCGCCGAGAACUCUGGGAGUCGCUGCUGAAUUCGUCCUCAUGCCAUAUCUUUUAAAAACCAACUGCCAAACUAUUGUAUGAAACCGUGUACAGUUGUAUUGUGUAAAAAAAAGACGAAAUGAAAAAUACACUUCAGCAUUUUAUUAAGAAGUAUUCACUGUAAAAUGGAGACAUUUACACACAAAAAAUAAUUUAUUCAAAUUUUGACGUUUAAACGAUAACAAUUGUGUAAAUAUAUACAUAUAUACAUUCACUGAUGUAUUUUUUAAAACAUGGCUUGCUUCAAUUUGUAAUUUUAAAAGUGCAGGUGUUAUAUGCUUUGUACAUUGAAGUUCAAAGGGGUUUUACAUUUUCCAUUAAAAUGGAUUCAUCAAAAUAUGUCUGUGCUGUGUCUUAAUGCAGGUAUUCCCAUACUGGGGUGUCUUAAUGCAGGUAUUCCCAAACUGGGGUGUCUUAAUGCAGGUAUUCCCAAACUGGGGUGUCUUAAUGCAGGUAUUCCCAAACUGGGGUGUCUUAUUGCAGGUAUUCCCAAACUGGGGUGUCUUAUUGCAGGUAUUCCCAAACUGGGGUGUCUUAAUGCAGGUAUUCCCAUACUGGGGUGUGUCUUAUUGCAGGUAUUCCCAAACUGGGGUGUCUUAAUGCAGGUAUUCCCAAACUGGGGUGUCUUAAUGCAGGUAUUCCCAAACUGGGGUGUCUUAAUGCAGGUAUUCCCAAACUGGGGUGUCUUAAUGCAGGUAUUCCCAAACUGG